rnacentral:rRNA from 1 species
ACAGAGGGUGCAAGCGUUAAUCGGAAUUACUGGGCGUAAAGCGAACGUAGGCGGUUAUCUAAGUCGGAUGUGAAAUCCCCGGGCUCAACCUGGGAAUUGCAUUCGAGACUGAAUAGCUAGAAUGCGGAAGAGGGAAGCGGAAUUUCCGGUGUAGCGGUGAAAUGCGUAGAUAUCGGAAGGAACAUCAGUGGCGAAAGCGGCUUCCUGGUCCAGCAUUGACGCUCAGGUUCGAAAGCGUGGGGAGCAAACAGGAUUAGAUACCCUGGUAGUCCACGCCAUAAACGAUGAGGACUAGACGUUGAGAGGGUUAGCCUCCCAGUGUCGCAGCUAACGCGCUAAGUCCUCCGCCUGGGGAGUACGGCCGCAAGGUUG